rnacentral:rRNA from 1 species
CCCGGUAAACGGCGGCCGUAACUAUAACGGUCCUAAGGUAGCGAAAUUCCUUGUCGGGUAAGUUCCGACCUGCACGAAUGGCGUAAUGAUGGCCAGGCUGUCUCCACCCGAGACUCAGUGAAAUUGAACUCGCUGUGAAGAUGCAGUGUACCCGCGGCAAGACGGAAAGACCCCGUGAACCUUUACUAUAGCUUGACACUGAACAUUGAGCCUUGAUGUGUAGGAUAGGUGGGAGGCUUUGAAGUGUGGACGCCAGUCUGCAUGGAGCCGACCUUGAAAUACCACCCUUUAAUGUUUGAUGUUCUAACGUGGGCCCCUUACCGGGGUUGCGGACAGUGUCUGGUGGGUAGUUUGACUGGGGCGGUCUCCUCCUAAAGAGUAACGGAGGAGCACGAAGGUUGGCUAAUCCUGGUCGGACAUCAGGAGGUUAGUGCAAUGGCAUAAGCCAGCUUGACUGCGAGCGUGACGGCGCGAGCAGGUGCGAAAGCAGGUCAUAGUGAUCCGGUGGUUCUGAAUGGAAGGGCCAUCGCUCAACGGAUAAAAGGUACUCCGGGGAUAACAGGCUGAUACCGCCCAAGAGUUCAUAUCGACGGCGGUGUUUGGCACCUCGAUGUCGGCUCAUCACAUCCUGGGGCUGAAGUAGGUCCCAAGGGUAUGGCUGUUCGCCAUUUAAAGUGGUACGCGAGCUGGGUUUAGAACGUCGUGAGACAGUUCGGUCCCUAUCUGCCGUGGGCGCUGGAGAACUGAGGGGGGCUGCUCCUAGUACGAGAGGACCGGAGUGGACGCAUCACUGGUGUUCGGGUUGUCAUGCCAAUGGCACUGCCCGGUAGCUAAAUGCGGAAGAGAUAAGUGCUGAAAGCAUCUAAGCACGAAACUUGCCCCGAGAUGAGUUCUCCCUGACUCCUUGAGAGUCCUGAAGGAACGUUGAAGACGACGACGUUGAUAGGCCGGGUGUGUAAGCGCAGCGAUGCGUUGAGCUAACCGGUACUAAUGAACCGUGAGGCUUAACCUUACAACGCCGAAG